rnacentral:rRNA from 1 species
AGCGAACGCUGGCGGCAGGCUUAACACAUGCAAGUCGAGCGGGCGUAGCAAUACGUCAGCGGCAGACGGGUGAGUAACGCGUGGGAACGUACCUUUUGGUUCGGAACAACCCAGGGAAACUUGGGCUAAUACCGGAUAAGCCCUUACGGGGAAAGAUUUAUCGCCGAAAGAUCGGCCCGCGUCUGAUUAGCUAGUUGGUGAGGUAACGGCUCACCAAGGCGACGAUCAGUAGCUGGUCUGAGAGGAUGAUCAGCCACAUUGGGACUGAGACACGGCCCAAACUCCUACGGGAGGCAGCAGUGGGGAAUUGUUCGCAAUGGGCGCAAGCCUGACGACGCAACGCCGCGUGGAGGACGAAGAUCUUCGGGUCGUAAACUCCUUUCGAUCGAGACGAAUGGCUUCCGGCUUAAUACUCCGGGAGAAUGACGGUACCGAGAGAAGAAGCCCCGGCUAACUCCGUGCCAGCAGCCGCAGUAAG